rnacentral:lncRNA from 1 species
AACGAGGUUCGGCAUUUUCAUUUCUUUUCAUUUCUCCUCUUCCUCUUGUCCCAUAUCUGAAAAAAAAAAAUCGCCACCACCAGCCCCUCUUCAAGUCAGCAGACCGACGGUCGACGUCCCUUUUCAACUCUCCUCUGCUCGACGGUUGACGCUCGAGCUUAACGUCUCACACACGUGCACCAGUCACCAUCAUCGUUGGCAGAUUCAUUCAUCUCAUUGCACGGUAGGAUAGUUUAACUUUAUUUUCUUUUUUUAUGUAUUAUUUCUUUUAUUUCUCUAAAUACUUUCUCUGCUGCAAAUUUUUAUGGUUGUCGACAAAGAGAGAGAAUGUUUUUGUCGGUUUUAGCUUAGUUGCGUCUUAGCUCAUUGACUUUUAUGCUUAGUGCUCUCUUUUUUUCUACCAUCGUUUCCACUUUGUUUCCCUUAACUUCAACGUGAAUUACUUAUUCUAGUGAACCCCAUAGCUCGAAUCUGCAAGUACAAGUGGGAAAAGAAACUAUGUUAAUUAAAAAAAAUAAACCGUACCGAAUCGACUGAUUCGAUUAUUUCGGUUUUGCACAUAACUUCAGUUUGGUUAAUUUGGUUACAACAAAAAUUUUGAUUUAUUCAAUUAUUGCCAUGAAAUAACCAAAUAGACUGAAUGCACACUUGUUAUGGUAUUUUCUGUUUUCAACCCAAAACUUGAAUAUAACCUCGAACCAUCAACCCACAACCUGAGUAGAUGCAAAAGAACUUGAGCCCCACAAGGUAGAGACAUUAGGGGCUCGUGGGGAGAGCGCUCACAUGUUCCUAGGUGUUCGCAAGCAGAGGAUGCGAAAUCAAGUGGGUAGUUCGAGGAACAAGUGUUAAGUCUAGAAUAGUAUACAUGUUGGCAUGCAUGGAGCCUACCUAGGACGUCAUUUCAAUGAAUAGAAAUUGUGUCUUAUAAAUACUCGAUUCCCCUCAUCGAGAGGACACAUCAGAACACUCAAUAAUUUGGUGUAGUGAGCGUGGACAGACUUCUGAUCGAUAGAUUUUCUUUUAAUUUGUAAAAAUCAGAAUGGCUCGCCUAGAUGAAAAUUUCCCCAUCAACUUUUCAUCAAGACAAGCUGGAGCUUCAGGUACAGGUGGCCAACCCACUAAGGCUAAUUUGUUUGCCAGCUAGUUUGUUGAACAACCGAAAAAUUUGGGUAACGUGGCCCACGUAGGGGCCUCAAACUCUUUUGACCUAAAAUUUCCUUCUAGCUAAGAGUUGUCGUUCUUUUCUAAUCAAGAAGCAUUGUUGUAGUAGUUUUUUGCUCUUCAAGAGCAAAUGAAAUUGAUGAAGGAACAAAUGGCCAUACAGAACGUGAGGUUUGAGCAACAAAAAACAUUUCAUCAGGAGCUCUUAAAAUUAUGAAGAGCUCAGAAGAAAGGUUCAAUCCGACAACUCCGAUUUUCAUGAUAAUGCAGCCAUGCGGGAAGAAGGUACUAAUGUGCAUACAAAAUAGUGGCAAAGUGAGAUGGAUGCUUUACGGUGAGACAUAAGGGCUUUGCAUCUUGAGUUUAUAUUAAUUAAAGCUUUUGAAUGUUUAUGGUAGAGUUUGAAGCUUUGAUGGAAAAUAGGAUUAUUUUAUAAUGUAAUUUUUGUUAGUUUUGAACAUAAGGACUAAAUUGUUAAUAUUUUGAAAUUGACAUGUAAUUUUUUAUAAUAUGAGGCUGUAAUUGGAUAUAUUUGAAGUUGGUUUAAAAUUUGGAGUCCAAAUUUGGAAUUUAUGAUAAGUUUGAUUUUAAGGACUAAAUUGAAUAAAAUGUAAAACUUGAGGAAAUAAUUGAAAGAUUAAAUUAAGCUUAUAUAUAUUUGUAAUAGGUUGUUAUAUAAUAUUUGAUUGAUUAAAUGGAAAUAAAUUUAUAUUAUAUAUCAAGAUUUGAACAAGACGAUUGAUAAUUGAGAAAGAAGGAAAUUAUAGACUAGUCCCUGACACUUUUGCUUUUGUUGUUAGCCUCUGGUAAGUUCAUACAUUAUAAAUAUAUUUAAAUUGUUGUUAAGUUUUAUUUGUAUGUUUAUUAAUGUUUUUUUGAUAUCUUGAAUUGGCUAUGAAUUAGUACAUAAAUUGAGAACUGAAUUAGAUUGAAAUGAAUUGUUAUAAAAUGGUAUAAUGUGAGAUUAAACCCUGAUGAAAUGAGUAAAAGUCUCGUAUACAAGGUUACAUGUUAUUGCCUGCAGGUUCUGAGCUCUAGCAUGUGUUGCAGACUCAAGAAUACAAGUUUAUUAAGCCUUGGCCAAGCUACAUGUUGUGUAGGUUCAACCCUGACGGGUGACCAGGCAUUAUUAUUCGAUUCAUAUAUGUUCAACUCUAACAGGUGACCAAGCACUAUUAUUCGAUUCAUGUGGGUUCAACCCUAACGGGUGACUAGGCACUAUUAUUUGAUUCUGUAGGUUCAACCUUAACAGUUGACCAGACACUAUUAUCUGAUUCGUGUAAGUUUAAUCCAAACGGGUAACCAGGCACUAUUAUUCGAUUCGUGUAGGUUUAACCCAAACGAGUAACCAAACACUAUUACUUUCAUUUGUGUUGAAGUUCUUUUACGAAUUUUCAUUGGGUAACAUUGUGAGUGAAAAUGUGAUGAUAUGUUGUUAGAUGUUGACAAAGUAAUGUAUAUGAUUUGGGUAUAAGGUAUGAGUUUGAUUAUGAUAGAAAUAUGAAAAAUUGAGGUUAUAUUUAUGGUUUGAGCUCAAAGCCUAUGUAUCUGAAGUUGUUGCAUUGUAUCUUGAUAGGGAUACUUGUAACAUCCCGAUUUAGGGUCUAGUCGGAAUAAUAAUUUCAAGACCACAAAUACAACGUAAUAAAAUUUAUUUUUAUUAUAUUUUUAUGGUCUACGAUUUCAUGAAAUGAUUUCGUGAAAAUUUCGUUUGACAAUUUUGACGUUUGGCACUCAAUUUAGUCAAAAGGACUAAAUCGUAAAAAGUGCAAAAGUUGAGUUCUACAUGCUAGAGGUGUCCAAUUGUUAUUAAAUUUUAAAUUGGAGGUCCUUAUAUGGUAAUUAGACCAUUGGUUAAUUUUUUGGACAAAAAUGGACAUGAAAUGGGUGAAAUAGAAUAUUUUUAAGUUAGGGGCAUUUUGGUCAUUUGGUAAUUAAAAUAAUAAAAAGGGAAAAUAAAAGCGAAAUUUAUGCUCAUCUUCAACCUUUGGCCGAAAUUUGCAUGAAAUCCAUGGCUAAGGAUUUUUUCAAGCUUUCCAAGCUCGAUAGUAAGUCCGUUCUUGCUCUGAUUUUAAUGAUUUUCACAUUUUUGAGAUCUUUGAAGCAUGGUCUACUUAUUUCUAGCCUUAUUUUGAGUUAGGGUUCAUGUUUAAAAAUUUACCCAUGUGUGACAUGUGUGUAUUUUUAUGUUUAAUGGAGGAAUAUGUAAGUUUGAUGUUAGAGAAUCGACUUUUACUAAGUGAUUUUCGAUGAAAAUGCAUAAAAGGGCGUAUUUGUAAAAGUUAUAAAAUUUGUCAUAAAAGUGUGAUUUAGUGGAAAUUAUCGGCUGCUAUAGUUAUGAAAAUGAUUCGGCUAGGCUUAAAGAGUAAGGAAAUUGAAUAAAAAUCAUUUUACGAGCCUAGGGGCAAAAGUGUAAAUAUGACAAAGUUUAGGGGCAAAAAUAUAAACGUACCAUAAUGUGAUUUUUGGAGCACAUUGAAUAAUUUGACUAAUAAAUAAGUUAAAUGUGAUGUUUUAGAUCAAUGAAAACGAGGCUUGGACCAAGAACGGGGAAAAACGCACAUUUGACAGUUAGGUCCUUUUCACUAUUUUUGUUAUCAAGAUAAGUUUGUAUGAAAAUAAUGCAACAUGUUGUUAUUAUUAUAAGUCUAAUGUUUGAAUAUUGCACGAAAUGUAUAUGUAUAUGUAUUUGUCUUUAUGAAAUGGAUUCACGAUGACUCGAUGAUAUUUGAAAAAGUUUCGAGAUAAGGUCUCGUGUAAGACCAUAUCUGGGACGUGGCAUCGGCGUUGAUAUGUGAGCUAGUGUAAGACCAUGUCUGGGACAUGGCAUCGACAUGGAUAUGUGAGCCAAUAUAAGGCCACGUCUAGGACAUGGGAUCGGCAUUGAUAUGUGAGCCAGUGUAAGACCAUGUUUGGGACAUGGCAUUGGCGUUGAUAUGUGAGCCAAUGUAAGACCAUGUUUGGGUCUUGGCAUCGGUGCUGAUAUUUGAGCCAGUGUAAGACCUUGUCUGGGACAUGGCAUUGGCAUAGAUAUGUGAGCCAGUGUAAGACCAUGUCUGGAACAUGGCAUCCGCGCUGAUAUGUGUACUACUGUAAGACCAUGUCUGGGACAUGACAUCGGCACUGACAUGACAUUUCGUAUAAGACCAUAUCCAGGAUAUGGCACCGAUAUGUGGAUCCAUGUAAGACCAUGUCUGGGACAUGACUUUGGCACUCUAUUUGGUGCAUGAUGAUUCCGAAUGCCCUUCAGUAUUCCAAGUGGUUCAACGAGUAAUUCAAAUAUGAUAUCAAAGUUGUGAUAAGGAAUGAUUAUGUCAUAAUGUAGUACAGGUAUGUACGUAAAACUCAUGAGAAAUGACUCGGUUUAAGAUGCACCGUUAGUAAGGAUGCAAAUAAGUAAGUCAUGUUUACGAGAAUGAUUUUGUGAUGACCUUGUGGUUAUGGGUCUAUGUUCAUAAGGUAUAAAUAUAUGGUAAAUUUAAUUGAUGAUCAUGUGUGAAACUUUUAAGCCAAAUCGAAUUGAGAUACUAUGUGUUUAUUCCUUUAAUUUUGUGGUUCAAUGAAUAACGAAAGGAGGAGAGGAUCGACGUAAAUGCCUAUUAAAAAUGGUUUUGAAUGUAUGGAUAGAUAAGAGUUUUUGGACAUUUGAAUGAUGUUAAGCUACAUGCUUGGAAAUGUGAAUGUACAAAAUUAAUGUGUACUAAAAUAGUCAUAGACAGCAGCAGUAGUCUGACUCUGAAAAUCCACUAAAAAAUUGUGAAAAGUGAGUUAGAGGGUAAAUAAAAUAUGAAAUUCAAGCUUAUUGAGCCUAGUUUCACGUAAAAGAAACGGUGUAAGCAAAAGGAAUUCAUAUUAUGAGAUAAUUAAAUUGUUGUGAGAUAGGGUCAGAGUGAUUUUGGGCUCCCCUGUCUUAACUUUGGAAAUAAUUAAAAAUUGUACAAAAAUAAUUAUGGGCUAUAAUUUAUAUGCUUAGAAUCCUUAAUGAGUCUAUUUUCAGGAGAAACAAAUGGAACAUCUUCCAAAUCCCGUAUGAUGAGAUAAUUAAUUUUUAGUAAAGAGGAUUUGGAACUGUCGGACAACAAAAUAAAGGUAAAUUUGAAGAAUAAAAUGUACUUAUUGGCUAAACCAAAAAUUCUGAAAAUUUUAUGGUAAGAUUAUAUGCGAGUCUAGUUUCUGGAAAAAUUAGUGGAUCUUAAUUUGGAGUUCCAUAGCUCCAUUUAUAAAUAAUUUACUGGCUAUGACUCGAGAAAACAGCUUGACAUGAACACAAGUAAAAAGUGCAAUUAUGCUUGUAUUACCUUAAGAUCAUAUUGUGAGAAUUAGUAGAAGCAUGUUAAUAAAUUGCUCAUUACUUUCAUACGGGCUUACUAAGCUAUAUAGCUUACCCCCUUUUUUUUUCUAUGUCCUAUAGGGUCACUAGGCUAGCUCGGGUUGGAGAUCAUCGGAGAUGCUAUCACACUAUCAAUUUAUCAUCGUGGGGUAAAAGUGAAUGCAAACCUCUUAACCUUAUGGCAUGUAUAGGGAC